rnacentral:rRNA from 1 species
GCAUCGAUGAAGAACGCAGCGAAAUGCGAUAACUAAUGUGAAUUGCAGAAUUCAGUGAAUCAUCGAGUCUUUGAACGCACAUUGCGCCCCCUGGUAUUCCGGGGGGCAUGCCUGUCCGAGCGUCAUUGCUGCCCUCAAGCCCGGCUUGUGUGUUGGGUCGCCGUCCCCCUCUCCGGGGGGACGGGCCCGAAAGGCAGCGGCGGCACCGCGUCCGAUCCUCGAGCGUAUGGGGCUUUGUCACAUGCUCUGUAGGAUUGGCCGGCGCCUGCCGACGUUUUCCAACCAUUCUUUCCAGGUUGACCUCGGAUCAGGUAGGGAUACCCGCUGAACUUAAGCAUAUCAAUAAGCGGAGGA